rnacentral:rRNA from 1 species
GAUGAACGCUGGCGGCAUGCCUAACACAUGCAAGUCGAACGAGACCUUCGGGAGUAGGCGCGCCUGGGUGCGUAACCCGUGGGAACCUUCCCUUAUGGUUAGCAUAACUCUCCGACAGGGAUGAUUAUGCCAGAUCAUGUCUUCUACCCAAAGAUUUAUCGACGUUGGUUGUGCCAGCGUUGGAUUAGGUAGUUGGUAGGGUAAAAGCCUACCAAGGCGACGAUCCAUAGCUGGGCUGAGAGGAUGAUCAGCCACACUGGGACUGAGACACGGCCCAGACUCCUACGGGAGGCAGCAGUGGGGAAUAGUGGACAAUGGGCGAAAGCCUGAUCCAGCAAUGCCGCGUGAGUGAUGAAGGCCUUAGGGUUGUAAAGCUCUUUUACCCGGGAUGAUAAUGACAGUACCGGGAGAAUAAGCUCCGGCUAACUCCGUG